GCUGGGGGUAAGGGGUGAGUCCUCUCAGGGGCAUGCUUAGGAAACAAAGUAGUUCCCAAAAUCUAUGCAUAUGACAGAGAAGAAUUAGAUGGCCUUUGAGAGACCCAGAAGAAAAUGCAAAAAGGAAUAGGGAAAAAAAGGGCAAAGCAACCUGCUGUGAGCCUCCUAAUCUUCCAUGGCCUGAAUUCCCAGCGCUUGAGAACAAGCCCUGUGAAAAACAAGCUGCUGUCCCUGCUAGAGGCAUCCUGCAAUCCAUGGAUGUUUAUCACCAAGCCAUUGUUAACAUGAGGAUCCAGUAUCUGCCGGAGGAGCCCCACCUUCUGCUACUAUUAUGUUCUUCAGAUGAGUAGAAGAGAGUGGGGAGGGAGAGAGCAGGAAGAAGAAAGGAAGAAUAAUGUCUUGAAAUUGAUGAUGCAUAUCAUAAAUUAUUACUCACCCCAUGUUCCCACCCUCGAGAGACCUCCAAACAAUCACCAUGCCACAGUGAACAUUCAGUAACAAAAAUUCAGCCAGGGUUUUCACCAGCAUGAAUGGCAGUGAUUCCAAUCAGGAAAACAGAAAGAGGAGAGUUCAGAGCCACCUAGAAUGGCUCUUGCAAGAUACGAAAUCAAGGCAGCAGCAACAGGGCUGAACAUUCCUCAUCCCUAACUCUCCCUUCACCAGUAGGAAACCCAGGAUAACUGCAAUCACCGCAGGCCCAUCUGGCCUGAAGUUCUACUACUAGUAGCCCUCCAUGGGACCUUCUUAAGGAAGCAUGUCAACUCAGGUAAGGGAUGUAAGGGGAUGGAUGACCCUUUGAGGCCAAAGUUGGAGCAAAAAACACCAGAUGUUCCUGUGCACUGCUCCUAAGAGAUGGUUCUGAAGACCAGUUCGGGGAGAGGUCAAAAUACUGGACAGAAUCUCAGCAACAUGGAACCUCAAACUAAGUGACAGUCACAGACAACUCUUCCCCAAAGAAAAUAAGCACAGACAUGGUUUGUGGUAAGCAGAAUUAUAAAGAUGAAUUCCCAUCUCCCUGUCAGAUUACCAGUAUGGUAAAUUACCAGAUUACCUGGUUAUUUAUUCAAACACUAAUACAGUUAUUGCCUUGAUGGAAACAUACAGAUACAAUUAAAAUCCCAAGUACCAAAUAAAUUGACCUUAAGACAAAGACUAAGUAAAUCACAUGAGCCCUCUACAAGCAGAGAGUUUUUCUCCAGCUGGUAGCAGAAGCCAGAGAUUUGAAGCAUAGGAAGUAUUCAACACAUUAUUGCUGGCCUGAAAAUGGAAGGGGCCACAUAACGAGGGAAACCGGUGGCCUCUAGAAGCAGGGAGCAGUCCCCUGCUGACAGACAGCAAGCCAAGACCUCAGUUCUACAAUUGCAAGACACUCAAUUCUGCUAAGGACAAAAAUGAGCUUGGAAGUGAACUCUGAGCUUCAGGUGAGAACACGGCCAAACAACACCUUGAUUUCAGCUUAAACAAAGAAUGCAGCCACUCCAUGCCAGAAUUCUGACCUGUAGAAAUUUGAGCUAAUAAAUAGAUGUUUUAAUAGC
rnacentral:lncRNA from 1 species